rnacentral:rRNA from 1 species
AGGCUAAAUACUCCUGACUGACCGAUAGUGAACCAGUACCGUGAGGGAAAGGCGAAAAGAACCCCGGCGAGGGGAGUGAAAAAGAACCUGAAACCGUGUACGUACAAGCAGUGGGAGCACCCUUUGGGUGUGACUGCGUACCUUUUGUAUAAUGGGUCAGCGACUUAUAUUCUGUAGCAAGGUUAACCGAAUAGGGGAGCCGGAGGGAAACCGAGUCUUAACCGGGCGUUAAGUUGCAGGGUAUAGACCCGAAACCCGGUGAUCUAGCCAUGGGCAGGUUGAAGGUUGGGUAACACUAACUGGAGGACCGAACCGACUAAUGUUGAAAAAUUAGCGGAUGACCUGUGGCUGGGGGUGAAAGGCCAAUCAAACCGGGAGAUAGCUGGUUCUCCCCGAAAGCUAUUUAGGUAGCGCCUCGUGAAUUCAUCUCCGGGGGUAGAGCACUGUUUCGGCUAGGGGGCCAUCCCGGCUUACCAACCCGAUGCAAACUGCGAAUACCGGAGAAUGUUAUCACGGGAGACACACGGCGGGUGCUAACGUCCGUCGUGAAGAGGGAAACAACCCAGACCGCCAGCUAAGGUCCCAAAGUCAUGGUUAAGUGGGAAACGAUGUGGGAAGGCCCAGACAGCCAGGAUGUUGGCUUAGAAGCAGCCAUCAUUUAAAGAAAGCGUAAUAGCUCACUGGUCGAGUCGGCCUGCGCGGAAGAUGUAACGGGGCUAAACCAUG